rnacentral:lncRNA from 10 species
CCGCCCAACUGCGUGACGAUUACAGGCUUGUUCUUGUUUAUGUCUUUGAUUCUGUUGUUAUUUUAUGUACUUGUGAAACCGACCCAGCAUUUCAUGAGACAAGUUUGUUCAAAGACCAUUUGCCAACCAUCUUUGGUUACCAGGAGCCUGGCUUUCGACACCAGACUUGGAGGCCUUUCCUCACUGAGCCUUCUGGCAAGGGGGCACGGGAGGAAGGAGAAACAGCCUGAAGAUGUUGGAUUAGGGAUUGCCGAACAGUUCGAGACACACGUGGAGGGAGUCAUAUUUACCUGCCUGUUUUCCCACCUUUGUUUCAACUGGGUAUCUCCCACUCUGCGAGGGGACAAGUCCUGAACUGGAAGCCAUUCAGUCUUUGGGUCUACUCAGGAAGUCUCAUUUGUAAGAGGAAAAACAAAGAUGAAAACUGGAGAAAGAAGAAAAGCCCAGGUCCAAUACUUAGCAGGUCCUCAGUAAAAGUGUAUUUAUUAAUUUGAAUUGAGCUGUGCUUGCAUCAGUGUAGGACCUGUGACCAGGAGCAAAAUAAAGAAGCAAAACUACUGGUCUUAUUUGGAUUUUCACAGGGAGCCUGGGAGAACCUCAAUGCAGGUGUGGAAACUGAGGCUGGAAGAGAGGAAGUCACACAGUCUCCCCAAGGUGACCUGGAAAAACUAGAACUAGAAUGAGGCCUUUAUACUUCAAACGACACUUGAAAUGAUGAAAAUAUCUCAAGCUUCCAACCAGCACUCUGGAGUACCAUGUUCACCGACACCGUGGGGUGAUGAAGCCAUGUUUUGAAAUAUUGUCCCGAGCCUCCUUGAUAAAGAAACUGAAACUUGAAGACCUGAGGUCGCACCAAGACUGAGUAGCAGACUGGGACUCAGAGGACCCUUUCUCAUGCCAACGGUGGCUACCACAGCCUCCCACGCUGCAAGCUUUGGAUUUCAAUGGACUCCUGACUCAGACUGGCUUGUGUGACUGUAAAGUUUACAAACCUGCCAGACUUCAGGUGAAACAUGAUCCAGGAGCCCGGUGAUGUCAUCCGGAUUUCGUUACUUGCUGUUGAUUUCUCUGCUCCAUUUGCUUGGUAAUGACUCCAACCUUAGCAAGUUUUUCCUCUUGCAGUCCCAAGACAGCUUUCAGUACUCAUAUGGUUUGGCUGUGUGACCCCCCAAAUCUCAUCUUGAAUUGUAGCUCCAAUAAUUCCCCUUGUCAAGGGAGGGACUUGGUGUGAGUAAUUGAAUCAUGGGAGCGUGUGUACUUCCCCUGCUGUUCUUGUGAUAGGGAAUAAGUCUCACGAGAUCUGAUGAUUUUAUAAAAGGCAGUUCCCCUGCACACGCUCUCUUGCCUGCUGCCAUGUAAGAUGUGCCUUUGCUCCUCCUUUGACUUCU